rnacentral:miRNA from 1 species
AUGUCGCAGGAGAGAUGGCAC